UCGGGAAUUUUGGGCAAUGGGCGAAAGCCUGAUGCAGCGACGCCGCGUGAGGGAUGACGGCCUUCGGGUUGUAAACCUCUUUCAGUAGGGAAGAAGCGAAAGUGACGGUACCUGCAGAAGAAGCGCCGGCUAACUACGUGCCAGCAGCCGCGGUAAUACGUAGGGCGCAAGCGUUAUCCGGAAUUAUUGGGCGUAAAGAGCUCGUAGGCGGUUUGUCGCGUCUGCCGUGAAAGUCCGGGGCUCAACUCCGGAUCUGCGGUGGGUACGGGCAGACUAGAGUGAUGUAGGGGAGACUGGAAUUCCUGGUGUAGCGGUGAAAUGCGCAGAUAUCAGGAGGAACACCGAUGGCGAAGGCAGGUCUCUGGGCAUUAACUGACGCUGAGGAGCGAAAGCAUGGGGAGCGAACAGGAUUAGAUACCCGAGUAGUCCCUGAGCGGGCUGGCAAGGCGCAU
rnacentral:rRNA from 1 species